rnacentral:rRNA from 1 species
GACGAACGCUGGCGGCGUGCUUAACACAUGCAAGUCGAACGGAAAGGCCCUGCUUUUGUGGGGUGCUCGAGUGGCGAACGGGUGAGUAACACGUGAGUAACCUGCCCUUGACUUUGGGAUAACUUCAGGAAACUGGGGCUAAUACCGGAUAGGAGCUCCUGCUGCAUGGUGGGGGUUGGAAAGUUUCGGCGGUUGGGGAUGGACUCGCGGCUUAUCAGCUUGUUGGUGGGGUAGUGGCUUACCAAGGCUUUGACGGGUAGCCGGCCUGAGAGGGUGACCGGCCACAUUGGGACUGAGAUACGGCCCAGUCUCCUACGGGAGGCAGCAGUGGGGAAUAUUGCACAAUGGGCGGAAGCCUGAUGCAGCAACGCCGCGUGCGGGAUGACGGCCUUCGGGUUGUAAACCGCUUUCGCCUGUGGCGAAGCGUGAGUGACGGUAAUGGGUAAAGAAGCACCGGCUAACUACGUG